GAACGCACAUUGCGCCCCUUGGUAUUCCGAGGGGCAUGCCUAUUCGAGCGUCAUUAUCACCCCUCAAGCCUAGCUUGGUGUUGAGACCUGCUGUAAAGGCAGUCUCUAAAAUCAGUGGCAGUGCUGUCAGGCUCUAAGCGUAGUAAAUUCAUCGCUAUAGGGUCCUGGUGGAUACUCGUCAGAACCCCCCCCAUUUUUUAAUGAUUGACCUCGGAUUAGGUAGGGAUACCCGCUGAACUUAAG
rnacentral:misc_RNA from 1 species